rnacentral:misc_RNA from 1 species
AUAUGACCCAGGAGACUGAGAGUUGUUGGCCUUGAUACAACGUAUGAAAUGUGGACUAGUAUUCUCUAGGCGUUGCAUCAAUUGAAAAAGUUGACCCUUGAAUUUUGUAGCAACACUCNGAGAAUCUGCCCCACCAGCUUUAUAUAAAGGACCAACCACAGGCUUCGCAGACUGAGUAAGCAUAGUGGAAGCAAAUAUCUGAGGAAGAUGGCAUGAGCAUGAAGACAAAAGUUGAAUAGAAUCCAAGUGUAAUAAGUCCCUAUUCUUCUCCAAAAAUCCAGUGGUAUCAUAUAUAACCUCCCCUGCAUAAUGGCAAACCUUGAAGGCUUUGCCUCGGUCCCCUCUGAAACAUGAAUUCCAAUGUAAAUGCUGCUUCAGCUUGUUGGCAAACGUCAAAUCAGUUCCAUUUGGAAAAGUGGACUCCUCAUCUAACAAAGAUAACAACCCCAAAGGUUUCUUUUCAAAGAGAUUGAGACAGUCUUGGUUGUCUUCAAAAUCAACUUUUGCCCAGUCAAUUCCAUCCUGAAUGUAUUCCUCCUGCUCUAACUUGAAUAGAUGGCGGUUAAAGUGUUGCUGCAAUCUCUCAUUCGCAUA